rnacentral:rRNA from 1 species
AACGUUGUUGCAGUUAAAAAGCUCGUAGUUGAAAUGAAGGUGUAGUAUGAAUGAUAUACUUUCGAGUAUAUUGUGAUUACAACUCCUCCUUCUAAAGAAUGUGUAUGAGUAUUAAUUUACUUGUAUCGUUGUUUAGACAUUUACUGUGAGAAAAUUAGAGUGUUCAAAGCAGGCAUAUGCUUGAAUAUAUUAGCAUGGAAUAAUCAUGUAUGAUUUUCAUAAUGUAUUUGAUUGGUUUGUAUUAUGAGAAUAAGAUUAAAAGGGACAGUUGGGGGUAUUCAUAUUCAAUAGUCAGAGGUGAAAUUCUCGGAUUUAUGGAAGAUGA